GAUGAACGCUGACAGAAUGCUUAACACAUGCAAGUCAACUUGAAUUUGGGUUUUUAACUUAGGUUUGGGUGGCGGACGGGUGAGUAACGCGUAAAGAACUUGCCUCACAGCUAGGGACAACAUUUGGAAACGAAUGCUAAUACCUAAUAUUAUGAUAAUAGGGCAUCCUAUAAUUAUGAAAGCUAUAAGCGCUGUGAGAGAGCUUUGCGUCCCAUUAGCUAGUUGGAGAGGUAACGGCUCACCAAGGCGAUGAUGGGUAGCCGGCCUGAGAGGGUGAUCGGCCACAAGGGGAAUGAGACACGGCCCUUACUCAUACGGGAGGCAGCAGUGGGGAAUAUUGGACAAUGGACCGAGAGUCUGAUCCAGCAAUUGUGUGUGCACGAUGAAGUUUUUCGGAAUGUAAAGUGCUUUCAGUUGGGAAGAAACAAAUGACGGUACCAACAGAAGAAGUGACGGCUAAAUACGUG
rnacentral:rRNA from 1 species